rnacentral:ncRNA from 1 species
UAUGCGGCAGUGCAAUGCAGCUGAAAAAGGGAAGCCCCUUUUUAUUAGUAAGGUAUAGGUUGGUUGGGGAAAACUCCUGUGAUAUGAGUUACUACCCCUUGAUCACUAACGGCUGACCAAGCCAAUAAUGCUUAGCUGGUCUUUUCGGAUGAUCAGCCACACUGGGACUGAGACACGGCUCGGACUCCCACAGGGGGCAGCAGUGGGGAAUCUUGGACAAUGGGCAAAAGCCUGAACCAGCAAUA